GGUUUGGACUAGCCGUUAGAGUGGAGAAAUAGCCAUUGAAAAUAUUGUAGAAAACUAGCUGUUAUAUUGUUCCCACGCUUAGGGUCGACUCCAAUUUUUUUAGGAUCGACUUCAUCUUCCUUUGAGUCGACUCAACUUUGAAAGGAGUUGACUCAGCCAUAGGGAUAGAAAAAUAACUUUUUAUCUUCUCUGAGAAAGCC
rnacentral:lncRNA from 1 species